GGCUGCAAGGAAGCACAGGCAGACGGGUGGGCUCCCAGCUGCUGUGGCUAGGUCCGCCCUGCCUGAGCCUGGGGAGAAGGGAAAGGAGACCCAGCCCCAGGAAGUGACUGCAGAGAGUGGCCCAUACAGGAGCGCGUGGGUGGUGGCAAGCUGAUCGUAGACCCCCACCUGCUAACAACAGGGCCAAGAAGCCUUGCCUCCCACGCUUUGAGGGUGCCACCCAGCACUGCCGUCGGGACAAGCCAUCUCCUGGCCUUGUCAAGGCCCACUUUGUCCAGGAAGCCUACAGGUGCUGACCACGCCCCCAGCACUCUGGGCAAGCUGUCUGCCCAGGGCAGGCGCUCGGGUGAGAGCAGUGCUGGCGGGGAGAGGGCGGUUCCUCAGGGGUGCGCUUCUCCAAAGGCCCAAGUCACUUUACACCAGACCUCAUGACACUCCACACACAGCCUGGCCCUCCAACCAGCCUCAGAAAACCAUAAUGGGUCCUCAAUGCUCAGGGGCAGAAGAUGAGAACCCACCCUUUGGGGUGGCCGUAGUGCCUUUUCCAGAGCCCCGGGGACCUUGGACUGCCGCUUCCCACGCCUAAGCCAUCCCUACCAGGUGGCCUCCCUUCCUCCUCCGUGCCGCCCAAGGUCCCCAGACCAUUCCUCUUACUCCAAAUUCUCUGCCAGUAUUUUCCCUAGUAGAGGACUUCCCCAAAUGGAGCAUGCAUCAGCAUCCCCUGGCCGGCUUGUGAAAAUACACUGCUGGGCCCCGCCCCAGAGCUUCAGAUUCAACAAAUCUGGGCUGGGCCAUGGAGUAGACUUGAGCCCUCCUGAGAAAGGAGCAGCAGCUUGAAGAAACCAACACACAGGCAAGCUCUGUGGCUUCAGCAGCCACAAGGACACCUCCCCAGGGAAUGUCCAGCAGUCAUCACUUCCCCACUUACCACUCCAGACAAUGGACCCACCCCAGCUGAGCCUGUCCUCCUAUGCUGGCUGGCUUCUGUCAACGUCUCUGGGGGCCACUCUGCUCCUGCACUCCCAGGGCACCCCCCUGCACCCACACAUGGACCAGGGGAUGGGGAGGGCAGGGACAGCCGAGUGCAGGGGAGCACUGAAUGCCAACCAAUUCAUCCUUCCAGGGUGAGGGAAGCGGAUUUUCCCGUAUUUUCAUUUCAGCUGUUCCUGGGCAUCCUGAACUUUGCACUCCAGUCUGAGGGCUCCAAAGAAUGGCUGCCAUGGCAACCGUUUCCAUGUUUUUGUCACCAAGGGACUCAACACUCAGUGUGAACUCUGGGUGGGGGGAGCCCUCCAGCCCAAAGAAGUGGCUGGGCCGAGUGUAUUUGACUGUGCAGACAGAGGUCACCGUGGCAACUGAGUGCCCCUUAGCUAAGCAAUGGGGGAGCCACCCCCAGCAUCCCUGAGAGCCCCGCUUUCCUCUCCCCAGGACUGAGCUGAAUACGAAUGAGCUUGGGAUAUGGCUGUUUCUGCCGUGCUGGACACCUCAGACCCCUUGUACAGCCGUGGUGUCCCCAGCCAGCAUGGGCUGGAGCAGCCCAACAAGGAUGCUGCAGAAGGCACCCUGGGCUGGGGCUCCAGGAGAGCUCAGCUUUGAUCCCAGGCUCCGAGCAUCUGUUGGUGCUGUGUGCUGAAUGGUGUCCCAACAAAUUCCUCUGUUGAAACCUUACACCUUAACCCCCUGGACUUCACAGGGUGACUUUACUUGGAGAUAGGGUCUUUAAAGUAUAAUUAACUACCCAUUAAAAAUUUUAAAAAUGUAA